UGGCUGUGGUUUCUCUUAAGUCACGCGUAAAUCUUUCGCCUUUUACUAAAGCAUUCCGUGGAGAGAGUUUGAUGCUCAAUGAGUUUGAUGUAUUUUUAUGAGCUUUGCUCUGGCAAAGCU